UACAGAGGGGGCAAGCGUUGUUCGGAAUUACUGGGCGUAAAGGGCGCGUAGGCGGCCUGCUAAGUCGAACGUGAAAUCCCUGGGCUCAACCCAGGAACUGCGUCCGAUACUGGUUGGCUUGAAUCCGGGAGAGGGACGUGGAAUUCCAGGUGUAGCGGUGAAAUGCGUAGAUAUCUGGAGGAACACCGGUGGCGAAGGCGGCUCACUGGUCCGGUUCUGACGCUGAGGCGCGAAAGCGUGGGGAGCAAACAGG
rnacentral:rRNA from 1 species